rnacentral:tRNA from 1 species
AGCUCAAGUGUUAAGAGCACCUGCCUAGCAUGCAGAAAGCCCUGGGUUCAAUCCCCAG